rnacentral:rRNA from 1 species
AACCCUUGUCCUUAGUUACCAGCACGUUAUGGUGGGCACUCUAAGGAGACUGCCGGUGACAAACCGGAGGAAGGUGGGGAUGACGUCAAGGUCAUCAUGGCCCUUACGGCCUGGGCUACACACGUGCUACAAUGGUCGGUACAAAGGGUUGCCAAGCCGCGAGGUGGAGCUAAUCCCAUAAAACCGAUCGUAGUCCGGAAUCGCAGUCUGCAACUCGACUGCGUGAAGUCGGAAUCGCUAGUAAUCGUGAAUCAGAAUGUCACGGUGAAUACGUUCCCGGCCGUU